GGAGUUUUUACUCUCUGCUAAACCAACUUUGUCAUCUAAAAAAUCAUAAGUCAAUGAUAACAAUAACAAAGAAUGACAUUUACAAAAGGAAAAAAGAGGAACUAUAGGGGACAAUGUGCCUUGAAGGACACUCAAUCAAAUAAAAAAGAUGAAGAAUGCCACUAACAAUACUACCAAUCCUACUAUGAAUAAUUGAGACCAGUGAUCUCUCUAUGCUAAGGCCUUAGGGGGAACACGGUUUCUCUGAAAUUAUAUUUCUUUUGCAUCUGUCCAGAAACAAUAGCAAUGAAAUUAUAACAUUUUUUAUAAAUGUAAGUAUACUAGUGACACCUAAGCAUAAUCCAAAUUUGUAGCAUCUGCAUAAGUUUUAAAUGUUGAAUUCACUGAAUGCUACAAAUUCUCUAUCAAACAGUCAAAAUUACAAGUGUAUGGAUAUACAAUGUCUAGUGUUAUUAAGCAUACCUUAUUACAGGCAUAUCAAAAUGGNNN
rnacentral:lncRNA from 1 species